rnacentral:rRNA from 1 species
GACGAACGCUGGCGGCGUGCCUAAUACAUGCAAGUCGAGCGCAGGAAGCUCACGGAACUCUUCGGAGGGAAGUGAAGGGAAUGAGCGGCGGACGGGUGAGUAACACGUAAGGAACCUGCCCCAAGGAUUGGGAUAACUCCGAGAAAUCGGAGCUAAUACCGAAUAGUUCUUCAGACCGCAUGGUCUGUGAUGAUGAAAGGCGCUUCGGCGUCACCUUGGGAUGGCCUUGCGGUGCAUUAGCUAGUUGGUGGGGUAAUGGCCCACCAAGGCGACGAUGCAUAGCCAAACUGAGAGGGUGAUCGGCCACACUGGGACUGAGACACGGCCCAGACUCCUACGGGAGGCAGCAGUAGGGAAUCUUCCACAAUGGACGAAAGUCUGAUGGAGCAACGCCGCGUGAGUGAUGAAGGUUUUCGGAUCGUAAAACUCUGUUGUAAGGGAAGAACAGGUAUGAGAGGUAAUGCUCAUGCUAUGACGGUACCUUACGAGAAAGCCACGGCUAACUACGUGCCAGCCGCCGCCGUAACAC